UACGUAGGGUGCGAGCGUUAAUCGGAAUUACUGGGCGUAAAGAGUGCGUAGGCGGUUUGUGAAGUCAGAUGUGAAAGCCCCGGGCUUAACCUGGGAAGUGCGUCUGAAACUGGCAGGCUAGAGUUUGGUAGAGGGGGGUAGAAUUCCUGGUGUAGCAGUGAAAUGCGUAGAGAUCAGGGGGAACACCGAUGGCGAAGGCAGCCCCCUGGGCUAAAACUGACGCUCAGGCACGAAAGCAUGGGGAGCAAACAGG
rnacentral:rRNA from 1 species